AAUAGGGUCUUUAGCAUAGUGAAAGUUUUAAUUUUGAUGAGGUGCAAUACCAGUUUUUCCUUUUAAUGAUCAUACUUUUGGUGUAAAGACCAAAAACUCUUCUGCUGGGGUUUUAUCUUGUUCCUUUGUCUGGAUGUUCCUCUGCUGCCUCAUUGUAUCUAAGUUGCCUCUUGUAUUUUUAUGUACAUGAUAUAUUAGUUACAUUUCUUGACCUUGGAGAAGUGGCCUCUGUAGAAGUUGUCUUAUGGGUUUCAGCACUCCCCUCUUGUCAUGCUAUGCUCCUCACCCAAGCUAUAUGCUCUUGGGUUUCCCCUAAAAGGGCUCCUUGGGGCCUUCUGUUUUUGGCAGGCUGUGUGGGUGGUCUUGGAGGCUUGGUUGGCCCCUAACUCAGUUGCUUGUCAGGCCCUGCCUUGUGUGCAUGCUGCCGGCUGCUGGUUAGCAGGCCCUGCUCAGGAGGUGGCUGACGGCAAGACCCCAGGGGACCUGAGGGCUAGUGCUGGCUUGCUGAUGGGUGGAGUCAGGGUCCAGAGGACUCCAGUGCUGCUGCCCCUAGAUGGCGGGUGAAGCCAGGUCCUGGGGUUAGUGCUGGAUUAUGAUAGGCAGUGCCAGGUCCUAAUGUUUGCUGUAGGGUCCGGGGGUCCCAGAGCUGGUGUCAUGUCGCCUGGGGGAGCAGUUCCUGACACAGUUGGGCAUGGGGUCCCAGGUGUGCUGAAGCUUGUGUUGGCCUGUUAGUGGGCAAGGCCAGGACCCAAUUGGUCCCAGAGUAGGUUCUGGCCUGCUAAGGGCAGGCUGGGUCUGAAGCCUGGGGGAUUGCGAUUUCCUUGCGUCUGUCUGAUAUCUGGCCCUGGUGGGUGAGGCUGGUCUAGAAACUUGUGCACAUUUCCUGGAGGACAAAGCCAGUGCCUGCCCACAAGUGGGUGGGACUUGUCUGGAGGAGGCUGUAGAUUCAGGAAGUCUUUAGGAGUAUGUGUUGAUGGGACUGUGUCUCUGCCCAGCUGUUUGGCCUGAGGCAUCCUGGUGAGGACACCUCCAGGAUGUCAGGUGGGGCCAAGUGUGGCCAGGUGUUGUGGCUAAUGAGCUAACAAUGCCUCCAGCACCAGCUUCUAGAACAAGCUCCUAAAUAUGGCUCCCGCUGCCGCGCACCCUCUCACCUCUUGUCUCUCCGGGAGACUCUCCUAGAAGAAGCAGAUGGCUGGAAGUCUGAAGCUGAGAACAGGCAAUGCCUAUGGUGCAACCAGAUUUAGUGGCGGCAAUUACAGUGAAGUGAAGUGAAGUCGCUCAGUCGUGUCUGACUCUUUGCGACCCCGUGGACUGUAGCCCAUCAGGCUCAUCUGUCCAUGGGAUUCUCCAGUUCCCUGAAUAGAGAUCAGACCUGAGACCCAGCAGUGAAAGCAACAAAUCCUUACCAAUGGACUGCUAAGGAAUUCACUACUUGUUUGAUUCUUUGUGCAAUUUAAUGAACCUUGUGUAUCAGUAACAGUAUAAUAUAUAUUUGUAUUUAAAUUUUUCUUGAGAAUCUAGACAUCUUUUUAUUGGAUAAAAAGCCGACAAAUAGAAAAUAUGUAUCUUAUAAACCUGUUAUUCAA